rnacentral:rRNA from 1 species
GACGAACGCUGGCGGCGUGCUUAACACAUGCAAGUCGAACGGAAAGGCCCUGCUUUUGUGGGGUGCUCAAGUGGCGAACGGGUGAGUAACCCGUUAGUAACCUGCCCUUGCCUUUGGGAUAACUUCAGGAAACUGGGGCUAAUCCCGGAUAGGAGCUCCUGCUCCAUGGUGGGGGUUGGAAGGUUUCGGCGGUUGGGGAUGGACUCGCGGCUUAUCAGCUUGUUGGUGGGGUAGUGGCUUACCAAGGCUUUGACGGGUAGCCGGCCUGAGAGGGUGACCGGCCACAUUGGGACUGAGAUACGGCCCAGACUCCUACGGGAGGCAGCAGUGGGGAAUAUUGCACAAUGGGAGGAAGCCUGAUGCAGCAACGCCGCGUGCGGGAUGACGGCCUUCGGGUUGUAAACCGCUUUCGCCUGUGACGAAGCGUGAGUGACGGUAAUGGGUAAAGAAGCACCGGCUAACUACGUG